GACGAACGCUGGCGGCGUGCUUAACACAUGCAAGUCGAACGGAAAGGCCCUUCGGGGUACUCGAGUGGCGAAAGGGUGAGUAACACGUGGGUGAUCUGCCCUGCACUUUGGGAUAAGCCUGGGAAACUGGGUCUAAUACCGGAUAGGACCACGGCAUUCAUGUGCUGUGGUUGAAAGCUUUUGCGGUGUGGGAUGGGCCCGCGGCCUAUCAGCUUGUUGGUGGGGUAAUGGCCUACCAAGGCGACGACGGGUAGCCGGCCUGAGAGGGUGACCGGCCACACUGGGACUGAGAUACGGCCCAGACUCCUACGGGAGGCAGCAGUGGGGAAUAUUGCACAAUGGGCGCAAGCCUGAUGCAGCGACGCCGCGUGAGGGAUGACGGCCUUCGGGUUGUAAACCUCUUUCGCCAGGGACGAAGCGCAAGUGACGGUACCUGGAGAAGAAGGACCGGCCAACUACGUG
rnacentral:rRNA from 1 species